UACGUAGGGACCAAGCGUUGUUCGGAUUUACUGGGCGUAAAGGGCGCGUAGGCGGCGUGUUAAGUCACUUGUGAAAUCUCUGAGCUUAACUCAGAACGGUCAAGUGAUACUGAUGUGCUAGAGUGCAGAAGGGGCAACCGGAAUUCUUGGUGUAGCGGUGAAAUGCGUAGAUAUCUGGAGGGACACCAAUUGCGAAGGCAGCUCGCUGGAACGUAACUGACGCUGAGACGCGAAAGCGUGGGGAGCAAACAGG
rnacentral:rRNA from 1 species